rnacentral:rRNA from 1 species
GGGCUUGACAUCCCACGAACCUGCCCGAAAAGGUGGGGUGCCCGCAAGGGAGCGUGGAGACAGGUGGUGCAUGGCUGUCGUCGGCUCGUGUCGUGAGAUGUUGGGUUAAGUCCCGCAACGAGCGCAACUCUCACCCCUAGUUGCCACCGGGUUAAGCCGAGCACUCAAGGGGAACUGCCAGCGUCAAGCUGGAGGAAGGCGGGGAUGACGUCAAGUCAUCAUGCCCCUUACGCCCUGGGCUACACACGUGCUACAAUGGCCAGUACAAAGGGACGCGAGACUGCGAAGUGGAGCUAAUCCCAAAAAGCUGGUCUAAGUUCAGAUUGCAGUCUGCAACUCGACUGCAUGAAGGAGGAAUCGCUAGUAAUCGCGUAUCAGCCCGGCGCGGUGAAUACGUUCCCGGGCCUUGUACACACCGCCCGUCACACCACGAAAGCUGUCUGUACUCGAAGUCGCUGAG